rnacentral:misc_RNA from 1 species
UCGUAACAAGGUCUCCGUUGGUGAACCAGCGGAGGGAUCAUUACAGAGUUACUACUCCAAAACCCAUUGUGAACCUUACCUAUGUUCUGUUGCCUCGGCGGCGUGGUCAGCGCCCCCUCUGAAAAGAGGACGAUGCCCUCCCGCCGGCAGCACCAAACUCUUGAAUUUUACAGCGGAUUACAGUUCUGAUUUGAAAAGAAAAAACAAGUUAAAACUUUCAACAACGGAUCUCUUGGUUCUGGCAUCGAUGAAGAACGCAGCGAAAUGCGAUAAGUAAUGUGAAUUGCAGAAUUCAGUGAAUCAUCGAAUCUUUGAACGCACAUUGCGCCCGGCAGUAAUCUGCCGGGCAUGCCUGUCCGAGCGUCAUUUCAACCCUCGAACCUCCGUUUCCUCAGGGAAGCUCAGGGUCGGUGUUGGGGCGCUACGGCGAGUCUUCGCGACCCUCCGUAGGCCCUGAAAUACAGUGGCGGUCCCGCCGCGGUUGCCUUCUGCGUAGUAAGUCUCUUUUGCAAGCUCGCAUUGGGUCCCGGCGGAGGCCUGCCGUCAAACCACCUAUAACUCCAGAUGGUUUGACCUCGGAUCAGGUAGGGUUACCCGCUGAACUUAAGCAUAUCAAUAAGCGGAGGAA